GUGGGGAAUAUUGGGCAAUGGGGGAAACCCUGACCCAGCGACGCCGCGUGAGGGAAGAAGGCCUUAGGGUCGUAAACCUCUGUUGUGUGGGAAGAAGAGCGUGACGGUACCACACGAGGAAGUCCCGGCUAACUACGUGCCAGCAGCCGCGGUAAUACGUAGGGGACGAGCGUUGUCCGGAUUUACUGGGCGUAAAGGGCGCGUAGGCGGUCAUUUAAGUCAGCUGUGAAAUGGUUUGGCUUAACCGGAUCAUGCGGUUGAAACUGGAUGACUGGAGUGCUGGAGAGGCAAGUGGAAUUCCCAGUGGAGCGGGGAAAUGCGUAGAUAUUGGGAAGAACACCGGUGGCGAAGGCGACUUGCUGGCCAGCAACUGACGCUGAGGCGCGAAAGCCAGGGGAGCAAACGGGAUUAGAAACCCCGGUAGUCC
rnacentral:rRNA from 1 species